CCAAGGCCAAUUCCUAAACCAAUGUUUAUUUCUAUUCUUCUUCCUGAGAAAUUGGGAAUUACUUCUCCCCAUCUCUCUCUCUCUCUGUAAUCUAUCAGUCUCAAUCUCUUCUAAACCUCGGAUAUACUUGCAAUUUCGCAUCUUUAUCAAUCAAAAGAUUCAAAACCUAUAACUAAACGCCUUCUCAUGGACUCCCUUCAAGCCGCCUACAAGGAAGAAGAAGAUGACGAAGAAGAACCCACCAACCACCUCGACCGCCCCACCAUUGAACUUGCCGAUGCUGAUCACCCCAACGAUGCAGAACAACCACUUAACGACACCGAAACCUCUCAAAACGGGGACUCCACUAAACAGCAAGAGCCAUUUGUAUCUGGCCUAUCUGAGUCGGACCCAACCACUUCUAACGACACCGAGAAACCCACCCUCAAAUCCCCCAAACAUGAAGACAUUGAGGAAGAAGAAGAUGAGGAUUGAGGACGACGAUGAAGAUGAAGACCCACCUCCCAAAAAGCAAAAACAACUCUCGUCUUUGACACUGCAGCAACGAGAAGAAGAACCCGCAACAAUUGACGAUAACAGCAACGGCAAUAAUGUAUCCAACGGAACGAAGACUCCGACGGCGGCACAAGCCACGGCGAAAAAGAAAUCCAAG
rnacentral:misc_RNA from 1 species